ensembl:snoRNA
AAGUCUUUUAUCCCUGCUAGUCAGUCAGUGAUCUGCCAGGCUUCACUUGCAGACCAGAGCACCCCAGAAACCCUGCCAAAGUUGAGCAAAGCCUUUGUAGGCUCAUGCAAGUGGCACUUCUGAACAGGA